rnacentral:rRNA from 1 species
UCCGUAGGGGGCAAGCGUUGUUCGGAAUUACUGGGCGUAAAGGGCGUGUAGGCGGCUUGGCAAGUCAGGUGUGAAAGUCCGGGGCUCAACCCCGGAGCUGCAUUUGAAACUGCCUCGCUCGAGUGCCGGAGAGGAAAGUGGAAUUCCUGGUGUAGCGGUGAAAUGCGUAGAUAUCAGGAGGAACACCAGUGGCGAAGGCGGCUUUCUGGACAGUAACUGACGCUGAGGCGCGAAAGCGUGGGGAGAAAACAGG